GUGGUUGUAGCUCAGUGGUAGAGUACUUGCCUAGCAUGUGUGAGGCACUGGGUUUGAUCCUCAGCACCACA
rnacentral:tRNA from 1 species